CAGUAGCCACGGGAAUACGAAGGGGGCUAACGUUGUUCGGAAUCACUGGGCGUAAAGGGUGCGUAGGCGGGAUCUUAAGUCAGGGGUGAAAUCCCGAGGCUCAACCUCGGAACUGCCUUUGAUACUGGGGUCCUUGAGUCCGGAAGAGGUGAGUGGAACUGCGAGUGUAGAGGUGAAAUUCGUAGAUAUUCGCAAGAACACCGGUGGCGAAGGCGGCUCACUGGUCCGGAACUGACGCUGAGGCACGACAGCGUGGGGAGCAAACAGGAUUAGAUACCCGGGUAGUCCCUGUCUCUUAUAC
rnacentral:rRNA from 1 species